GAGCGUCUAUUAUAGGUCCGCUUUGAAGUAAAAAAGUUCAAAAUAUUCCUAUUAGAAUCGAAAUAAUUCUAUCAUGCCAUGCUCUAUGCUCAUUUUAACAUGGGUAGGCAUUAUAUUUGUAAACAUUUAAUACCUUGCUAAUGCUCGGUAUUAAGAUAUUAACAAAUAUAAUGCCUACCCAUGUUAAAAUGAGCAUAGAGCAUGGCAUGAUAGAAUUAUUUCUUAAA
rnacentral:lncRNA from 1 species